rnacentral:rRNA from 1 species
AAGGAAUAUUGGGCAAUGGACGGAAGUCUGACCCAGCCAUGCCGCGUGGAGGAUGAAGGUCCUCUGGAUUGUAAACUUCUUUUCUCUGGGGCGAAAAAAGCCUAUUCUUAGGCGCUUGACAGUACCAGAGGAAUAAGCACCGGCUAACUCCGUGCCAGCAGCCGCGGUAAUACGGAGGGUGCAAGCGUUAUCCGGAUUCACUGGGUUUAAAGGGUGCGUAGGUGGGCUUGUAAGUCAGUGGUGAAAUCCCCGAGCUUAACUUGGGAACUGCCGUUGAUACUAUAAGUCUUGAAUAUCGUGGAGGUAAGCGGAAUAUGUCAUGUAGCGGUGAAAUGCUUAGAUAUGACAUAGAACACCAAUUGCGAAGGCAGCUUGCUACACGACCAUUGACACUGAGGCACGAAAGCGUGGGGAUCAAACAGGA